ACCAUCUUAGCCAGUGCCUGCGUCUGCAUUGCCAGUUGCCACAAGCUACAUUCCACGCAGCUAGCGCAACUGCUCCGUCUCCAGAGCUGCUCAUAUCCUCUGCUUACCAUCAGGACUCCAAUGCGUGGGCAGGAAUAGAAAGAUUGGAACAUCACGAUAUUUCUAUUUUUCCGAAUCUUGUGUGCUGUCUUUUCGUACCAUAAGAAAGGCGAGCAUCUGAAUCUUUUCACAAGGUUCGACAUGGUGGACGUGUUUUUUGUAAAGUAUAGUGCAUCGAAAAUUAAUACUCCACAAACGAAUCACUUUUAUGUUUGUUUUGAACUCUACUGCAUAAAAAAUACUAAAAAAUAUAACUUAAACACUAGAGUCCUGUGAAAUUGAACAAACCAACGGGAAAAAAUUGUAAUCUUCUAAAAACCCUUUAAAGACAUGUUUAUUUGUAGUGUAUUUACAGGAAUCGGAGGGAAUCGUCCUGCAUCCCGGAAAAUCUCAAAUAGUAUGUUUACUUGUCCGGUCUUGGAUGUGAUAAUCCUGAGAUAUCCCUGCAAAAUUCACACACUUUUGCAGAGAUUAAAAGCUCUUCAUCAUAUUACUGUAUGUUUUGGAAGAGUAUUUAAAUGAGUGAGAGGGGAUUCGGUUAACACCAAAUUCCAUCCAUUUACUGAACUCCUUGGUCGUGGAAAUACGAGAGAAGUAAACAAGACCGAGAUUCCGCAAAACAUGAUGCUUCUUCGUACUGCAUCGCAGCGGUACACAUAACCCUCAAAGCACCGAAACCUUAGUGAAUAUCUCCACUAUUAUGUUUUUUCCCUUAAUGUUAGAAAAAACUUAUCAGUGGAGGUACUCCCUAAGGUUGCGGUGGUAUUGAGAUGUUACUCACACCUGAGCAGGGUUGACCUCUAGCCUUCGAUAUAGUAUGUAUAUAUACCUCGGAGUAAAGUUCUAUAUUCAAAAAGAUGUAUGGAAUGCCUACUAGCUCCCCUUGAUAGUUAUGUAAUUUAUUUUGAUACUGAUUUUCCGUUCUCAUUAGCAUAAUGUUUUAUCUGAUAUAUAGUUCUUUCAAUCAAAGAUGCAACAACUA